rnacentral:rRNA from 1 species
UACGAAGGGGGCUAGCGUUGUUCGGAAUUACUGGGCGUAAAGCGCACGUAGGCGGUUAUUUAAGUCAGGGGUGAAAUCCCGGAGCUCAACUCCGGAACUGCCUUUGAUACUGGGUACCUAGAGUAUGGAAGAGGUAAGUGGAAUUCCGAGUGUAGAGGUGAAAUUCGUAGAUAUUCGGAGGAACACCAGUGGCGAAGGCGGCUUACUGGUCCAUUACUGACGCUGAGGUGCGAAAGCGUGGGGAGCAAACAGG